AGCAGCAGCCGCGGGAAUACGUAGGUGGCAAGCGUUGUCCGGAAUUAUUGGGCGUAAAGCGCGCGCAGGCGGCCUAUCCAGUCUGUCUUAAAAGUUCGGGGCUCAACCCCGUGAUGGGAUGGAAACUAGUAGGCUAGAGUAUCGGAGAGGAAAGCGGAAUUCCUAGUGUAGCGGUGAAAUGCGUAGGUAUUAGGAAGAACACCAGUGGCGAAGGCGGCUUUCUGGACGAAAACUGACGCUGAGGCGCGAAAGCUAGGGGAGCAAAUGGGAUUAGAUACCCCCGUAGUCCCUGUCUCUUAUACC
rnacentral:rRNA from 1 species